ensembl:snoRNA
ACUCCCAUCCAAGGGGACUUUUCACAGCGUUUAUAACAUCCACGUGAUGUUAAUGUGGCUAUACUGAGAACACAGGUUUUGCUUCUGUCACUGUAAUUUUAUUGCAGUGGUGACAGUGAGACCUGUAAUUUUU